AUCUUGUAUGAUAGCUCAGUCGGAAGAGCAUGAGACUCUUAAUCUCAGAGUCGUGGGUUUGAGCCCCACAUUGGGUG
rnacentral:tRNA from 1 species